GGUUACUUUGAUGUCAGGGAUCAAAAUGACUGCUGGAUUCGUGUCUGGGUGAAGAAAGGGGGAAUGAUUGUCUUGCCUGCAGGAAUUUAUCACCGUUUUACACUGGAUACAGACAACUACAUCAAGGUAUAUGAUAAUAUAUGGAAGAAUAUUAGUUGUUUGCGAAUAUGUGUUUUUUUAUAUGAUGGCUGGACUGGAGCCUUAUGUCAAAGCAUAAUCAUGAUUUCUGAUGCCUUGGUGCUACCACAACGAAUGCCAUUAUCCCCAUUAUGCGUAAAUAACUGGACUUACAAUGGCCGAUAUUCCCAUGAUCGUGUAGUUGAGUCUCAUAGCUUUCAGUCCAUUAGCAUUCAUCACGUAUUGUGCUGUCUAUAUGUUACAAGAUAUGGUACAUAUGCAUGGUUAUUGUUACUGUUACUUUCACCAGCAUUAAUGCAAUAACUAACCCCAAUUUUUGGAAACCAUGGCUUUUGGGUGACCAUUGUGGUGCUAUACUAAGAAGAUAUAAUUUAGGUUGUGCCAUAUUUUCUAGCUAAUUGAUACAUUUAAAGAGGCAUUUUGGGUUUAGUGCUUGAGAGUAAUGUGUUUGAUCCUUGUUUUGUGUUGCUUUGGACAUGGAAUUGAUAGUAUUGUUCUUCUAUGACAUGGGCUUUCCACAAUUUCCUUAACACAAAAUAAUACUGAUAGGCAUCUUAUUUAGUCCUUAAAGGUCAUAAGUUUUAGUUGCACAUUGAAUGCUGUACGGUUGUUGUAGGCAAUUCCAUACGUGGGAUGUAUUUCUUCAUAUACAAGGCAAAAUUUUAAGGAAUCUUAAAUCAAGUGUUACGGCCUCUUCUAGAGGAGAAUAUAUUAUUGGAAUAUUGGUUAUGUGUGGGCAAGGGCAAUCAGGCACUAAAGUUUGUGUUGCCUAGCUAGUUCCUCUAGUGCUUAUUCACCUCUUGAUUUGAGAUUGAUCUGGUGGCAUGAUUCCAUAUGAUCCUGUAGAUAAAAGAUAAAUACACUGAAUGAUUUCUAAGUUGGCAUGUGACACUUCUGUAGUUUACGCAUGCUUGUGAUGCUUGGCAUAUGCCAUUCAUAUUUUGGAUGUGUUUGUAAAUUUGUAUUCAUAUUUUGCUCUAUGCCCUCCUCUCAUCAUGUAAUUUGUCUCUGAACAAUAAAAAUAUGUGCAGGCAAUGCGACUUUUUGUGGGUGAUCCAAUUUGGACUCCAUUCAACCGUCCACAUGAUCAUCUACCAGCAAGGUAUGCUGCUUUCUCAUUUUCACAGUUAUUGGUAACUUUUGUUCUGCACUGUGUUGCCAAUCGAAAAUUCAAGAUUCUUUGUUAGAGUCUUGUAAUGUGGACCUGAAUUACAGGAAAGAGUAUCUGAAAGCUUUUGUGCACAAUGAAGCCAGUGAUCAUGCUGUUGAUGCCGCUGCAUAAAAUCUGCUGCUGCUUGUAAAAUCAAAUAAAGGGCUCUGUUAGCUUCAAUAAGAAUACAUAUGUUUGUAUGGCUGGAAGACGUAUAAUUUUCUACCCCUUUGCAUAUUUGGUGUACUAAGACAGCAACAUAUGUAUGCUUUUCAACAUGGAAUAAAUGUAUAGUACGCAAUUUUAAUAUGAUUUUAGUAGGCAUGAGAACAUAAGAGAUGUGGUAGGUUUGAGUUCACAAGUAGUCCGAACCGCACUGUAAAUGUUCUCAAAAUUGCGCUUUGUAGCCCGUGUGAAGCCUACGGAAACUUUCUGCAUCUGGAUUUCUUUGUGAGCAUUCACUGAAAUCAGGUGGGUAUUAGGUAAAAAGGACUGGAUCUUUUUUGUGCUUUGCAGUCUUAAGCUCAAC
rnacentral:misc_RNA from 1 species